AAUAAAAAUCAAGAAGUAUUGUUCCUCAAGCCAAUGGCCUACACAAAAAAAAGUUCUUUUGUCGUGAUGGUUUUGGUGUUGUAUAUUUGCAUGAUAUGUGUUCCGAUUUUAGGUAUGACAUCAUUCCUAUAUUUUUGGGUAUUUUAGAAAAAUUUACCAUAAAGCAUGAUAUAAUUAAAACAUCUAUAUUGAAUUUUCAUCUAUACAGCUCUUGGCCCAGCAUGUUUUGGACGGUGUGACGCAAUCAGCAUCGAUUGCUUACAGCUUUGCCAAGAACUAGCUUUUGCUACAGGUUCAUGCGAAGCAGGGCCUUCAUCUCAGUGUUGUUGCCAUGAUUAAAUUACUAUUGUGUUAAUAUCCACUUGUAAGGAAUAUGUAUUCCGUAAACCAUCAAAUAAUGGGUUAAUAAUGAUAAAAUAUUUUCAUGGUAUACUGAUGUUACUUUAAACUACAUGAUAAUCCCAUAAAGCUAUUAAAAUAAUUUUAAUUUAGUAAUGUUCGUUUAUUUAUUUGAAUGUGUAACUAAUAAACAAAUAUACAUCACCCAAAAAUUUCAUAAGAUACUACGUUGCCGAAGACUCUUUUGGUAACUCUGAAGAUCAUUUUGUAAGAUUCAAUGUUAUUUUUUUAUAAAAGGGAAACAAUAAAGAUAUAAUAAAAUCGUUUAAUGGGGUAUUCCAAGACGUUACAUCUCUAUGGAACGUCUUUGUCAACUUCAUACUUUGACAUUACUACUACUAUUUACGUAACAUUUUUUUUCCAUUUUUAAAUUUAUGUUUGGGUAAACCUUGGAUUUAGUGAGUCCCUAUGGCAUGUAAGUAGACGUCUACCAUACUAAAUAGUAUGGUUUUAUCUUAC
rnacentral:lncRNA from 1 species